UACAACAAUGUUAGAUAAUUUGAAUUGAAUUUCCAUUUUCUGGCUAUUAACGGUUGUAUGUAGAACCUGGGUAGUUUUUUGAAAAUACCUAGUGGGUACUACUCCUUCAUUUAUACAGUUAAGACCGCUCCUGUGUCUAUCAGCCCUUCAGCUGUAAACUUAUUGGUUUUAUUAAUCACAAUAGUUAUCAUCGCAUACCAUUUCUGAGCUAUUACUCUAUCUAUGCUAUUAAAGAAUUUCAUGGUACUAACUUGCUCUUCUUGUAGGGCUUCUCUUCUCACAGGUUCUAUUUUCUCUUGAAAUUCUC
rnacentral:lncRNA from 1 species